rnacentral:rRNA from 1 species
AUUGAACGCUGGCGGCAUGCCUAACACAUGCAAGUCGAACGGCAGCACAGCAGUAGCAAUACUGUGGGUGGCGAGUGGCGGACGGGUGAGGAAUACAUAGGAAUCUACCCUGUCGUGGGGGAUAACGUAGGGAAACUUACGCUGAUACCGCAUACGACCGAGAGGUGAAAGUGGGGGACCGCAAGGCCUCACGCGAUUGGAUGAGCCUAUGUCCGAUUAGCUAGUUGGCGGGGUAAGAGCCCACCAAGGCGACGAUCGGUAGCUGGUCUGAGAGGAUGAUCAGCCACACUGGAACUGAGACACGGUCCAGACUCCUACGGGAGGCAGCAGUGGGGAAUAUUGGACAAUGGGCGCAAGCCUGAUCCAGCAAUGCCGCGUGGGUGAAGAAGGCCUUCGGGUUGUAAAGCCCUUUUGUACGGGAAGAAAAGCUGUCGAUUAAUACUCGAUGGUCAUGACGGUACCGUAAGAAUAAGCACCGGCUAACUUCGUGCCAGCAGCCGCCGUAA